CCCGCCUUUCUUCUGCUGUAAAAAAUCACAGCUCCAGCUGAAAAACUAAUAAAGCACUAGCCUUUCGCCACGCAAAACUCUCUUCCUCACCUCAGUUUCUCCAAAAUCACAACGUUAUACACAAGUAAGAACGAGAAUCACUGUAACUCUUCUGGGUUUUCUAUUUAAGACAGAUUUUGCUUGUUGAAUUUCAACAUGUUUGUGUAAAGUUCGAGUCUUGCAGAUUUCUACAACAUGCUUAGGUUUUAUCAGGAUUUUAUGCUUUCAGGUUUGAUGUUUCUCUCAUGUGGGCUAUUCAUUUUCUGGCUAAUUCUUCUAUGAACAAGCAAAGAUAUUUAGUGUUGAUAGCAGGAGAAGCAAUUAAACCAGGGACAGUGAAGGAAGAAGAUGUGAAUUGUUGCCAGAUUCAGGAAUGGUACCCAAAAUUCAAGUCAGUAUCCAUUAAAACAAUAAUCCAUGAACUUCCAGAAUCUUUUGUCGAGUACCUUCUUUUAAAAUAUUUUAUUUAUAUUUUAAAAGUGUAUUAGGUUUUAAAAAUAUUAAAUUAAUAAAUUUUUGGUUUAACUAUGAUUUAA